GAGUUUGAUUAUGGCUCAGGAUGAACGCUAGCGGGAGGCCUAACACAUGCAAGCCGAGCGGGAUUUGUUGGUUAGCUUGCUAACUAACAAUGAGAGCGGCGUACGGGUGCGUAACACGUGUGCAACCUGCCUUUAUCUGGGGGAUAGCCUUUCGAAAGGAAGAUUAAUACCCCAUAAUAUAUUGAUUGGCAUCAAUUAAUAUUGAAAGCUCCGGCGGAUAGAGAUGGGCACGCGUAAGAUUAGCUAGUUGGUGAGGUAACGGCUCACCAAGGCUGCGAUCUUUAGGGGGCCUGAGAGGGUGAUCCCCCACACUGGUACUGAGACACGGACCAGACUCCUACGGGAGGCAGCAGUGAGGAAUAUUGGACAAUGGGUGAGAGCCUGAUCCAGCCAUCCCGCGUGAAGGACUAAGGACCUAUGGUUUGUAAACUUCUUUUAUACAGGGAUAAACCUACUCUCGUGAGGGUAGC
rnacentral:rRNA from 1 species